rnacentral:rRNA from 1 species
AUUGAACGCUGGCGGCAGGCCUAACACAUGCAAGUCGAACGAGUGGCGGACGGGUGAGUAAUGGCUGGGAAACUGCCUGAUGGAGGGGGAUAAAUACUGGAAACGGUAGCUAAUACCGCAUACCAUCGGAUGUGCCCAGCUGGGAUUAGCUAGUAGGGGGGGUAAAGGCUCACCUAGGCGACGAUCCCUAGCUGGUCUGAGAGGAUGACCAGCAACUCUAGAACGGAGACACGGUCCAGACUCCUACGGUAGGCAGCAGUGGGGAAUAUGUAACAAUGGGCGCAAGCCUGAUGCAGCCAUGCCGAGUGUAUGAAGAAGGCCUUAGGGUUGGAAAGUACUUUCAGCGGGGAGGCGUUACCCGCAGAAGACGCACCGGCUAACUCCGUGCCAGCAGCCGCGGUAAUAC